rnacentral:rRNA from 1 species
GUUAAGNNCNGGGNUUUUCACAUCUGACGUGACAAGCCGCCUACGAGCUCUUUACGCCCAAUAAUUCCGGACAACGCUCGCACCCUACGUAUUACCGCGGCUGCUGGCACGUAGUUAGCCGGUGCUUCUUNUGCAGGUACCGUCACUUUCGCUUCUUCCCUGCUGAAAGGGGUUUACAACCCGAAGGCCGUCAUCCCUCACGCGGCGUCGCUGCAUCAGACUUUCGCCCAUUGUGCAAUAUUCCCCACUGCUGCCUCCCGUAGGAGUCUGGGCCGUGUCUCAGUCCCAGUGUGGCCGGUCGCCCUCUCAGGCCGGCUACCCGUCGUCGCCUUGGUAGGCCAUCACCCCACCAACAAGCUGAUAGGCCGCGGGCUCAUCCUGCACCGCCGGAGCUUUCCACCACCAGACCAUGCGGUCGGUAGUCGUAUCCGGUAUUAGACCCCGUUUCCAGGGCUUGU